ACUUACGGCCAUACCACCCUCAGCGCACCCGAUCUCGUCUGAUCUCUGAAGCUAAGAAGGGUCGGGCCUGGUUAGUACUUGGAUGGGAGACCGCCUGGGAAUACCAGGUGCUGUAAGAA
ensembl:rRNA 5S_rRNA 5S ribosomal RNA